CCCGCUGAACUUAAGCAUAUCAAUAAGCGGAGGAAAAGAAACUAACAAGGAUUCCCCUAGUAACUGCGAGUGAAGCGGGAAAAGCUCAAAUUUAAAAUCUGGCGGUCUUUCGGCCGUCCGAGUUGUAAUCUGGAGAAGCGUUUAUCCGCGUUGGACCGUGUACAAGUCUUCUGGAAGGGAGCGUCAUAGAGGGUGAGAAUCCCGUCUUUGACACGGACUACCAAUGCUUUUGUGAUGCGCUCUCGAAGAGUCGAGUUGUUUGGGAAUGCAGCUCAAAAUGGGUGGUAAAUUCCAUCUAAAGCUAAAUAUUGGCGAGAGACCGAUAGCGAACAAGUACCGUGAGGGAAAGAUGAAAAGCACUUUGGAAAGAGAGUGAAACAGUACGUGAAAUUGUUGAAAGGGAAACGCUUGAAGUCAGUCGCGUCUUCUGGAACUCAGCCGUGCUUCUGCUAGGCGCAUUUUCCAGUUUGACGGGUCAGCAUCGGUUUCGGUGGGCAGACAAAGGCGCAGGGAAGGUGGCCGCUCCGGUGGUGUUAUAGCCCUGCGUUGUAUGUGCCCGCUGGGACCGAGGAAUCCGGCUCGCGCCUGGGAUGCUGGCGUAAUGGCUCUAAGCGACCCGUCUUGAAACACGG
rnacentral:rRNA from 1 species